CCAAGCUCGUAGGACUCAGCAUCCCUCGCUGUCUCGGAACUCCCAAGCCCAGCGCUCCAUCGGUUUGCUUUUGGGAUUCCCUUAACGCACAUCCUGGGGAGUGGAGGGGCUCUGAUGGAGAAAAGGCGGCAGUCUCCCCCUGAGAAGGAGUGGCAGUGCCGGGAGUCUGUCAGCCCUGGAAGGUCCGACGGGCGUCCCACCCAGCGGAGGGACCCAGGGCAGUGGCCGUGCUUCCUCCCGGUGACGUCCUCCUUGUGCUGACCUCCGUCGGCUUGGCCUCGUUUGAACUGGCAGCAAAGCCGUGCAGCCUGGUGCCAGAUCAAGUUGUGCCUGCAAGAUAUGCGCUCAGGGAAAUAAAAGUGAAACUGAGGCAACAGGACUUGUAAGAAGACCUGGCCAGGGGCACGAUUACGCACGUGAACGUAACGUGGCUACUUCUCCACGUCAUGCUGGAAUUGUUUC